rnacentral:rRNA from 1 species
AGCCAGACUCCUACGGGAGGCAGCAGUGAGGAAUAUUGGUCAAUGGGCGGAAGCCUGAACCAGCCAAGUCGCGUGAGGGAAUAAGGCCCUACGGGUCGUAAACCUCUUUUGCCGGGGAGCAAGGGCGGGGACGUGUCCCGGCCCGGAGAGUACCCGGAGAAAAAGCAUCGGCUAACUCCGUGCCAGCAGCCGCGGUAAUACGGAGGAUGCGAGCGUUAUCCGGAUUUAUUGGGUUUAAAGGGUGCGCAGGCGGUCGUUUAAGUCAGCGGUCAAAGCCGGGGGCUCACCCCCGGCGAGCCGUUGAAACUGGCUGUCUUGAGAUGUCGAGAGGUAUGCGGAAUGCGCAGUGUAGCGGUGAAAUGCUUAGAUAUUGCGCAGAACUCCGAUUGCGAAGGCAGCAUACCGGCGGCGAUCUGACGCUGAGGCACGAAAGCGUGGGUAUCGAACAGGAUUAGAUACCCCAGUAC